CCUUAAGACACCACACCAGUGCCCCUCCACAAAUAAGGAACAUACUGGAAACUCCACUUCUGGAGGAGUUUCCUUAUCUCACCAGGAUUCACCCAGAAAACCAGAAAUGAUAAGAUAGAAGCCCACGCCAGGCCCACUGCCUCCACCACGGUUCAUCACGUGAUGAUAAGAACACUUUUGAAUAAAAGUGUCCAUACUGUUUCCAGUUUCUGGUUCCGAGUAAUUUUGGACUGUGCCUCAAACCCAAGCCCAAACUGACACCCGAAACACAGAAACUUCUUCAAAGAAAUUAUACAUGGUUUUAAAGAAGCAAAAAUUGUGAAAAAGCACAAAAACUACAAAAAUGUAUUGUUGAAAGGAGUAAAAGUGGUGAAAAGGUACAAAAAUUCCAAAAAUGCAUUGUUUCUUGCGUGUGAAAGAUGCAGUACAAUAGUUAAACAUCAUCAUAAAUGUAGAAGCUUUCUGUCAGCAUUGAAGGUCAACACUGCUGGUCCUGCAAGGAAACUCAGCCUGAACACAUCAGAGGAGAGACUGCAAGUUCUUCAAACCUAAAUCAUGAUAUGCCUGGUUCCAAAGGUCAGGCUGCUUGCAGAUAUGGACCCUUUCCUCUGCUGCCUUAUUGCCACUUACAUUAAAUACAGUAUAUGAUAAGAGUUUAUUAAUACUGUAGUCAACAUCCAUGCAAGCAUAUACAAGGGCCCCCAUGCAGAACAAGGUUGAAAAGAAAGGCUGUAAGAAGAAGGAGAUGAUUGGGGCAGAAGUUAAGAAGGAAAUCAUUGAGAAGCAUGAAUGAGGUGUGCAAGUGGCUGAAAUUGCAAGAUUUUGUAAGCAGUCUGUGUCGAUCAUUUGCAUAAUAUUAAAGAAGAAAGAAGAAAUUAGGAGCCUAGAUGCAAUAAAAGGAGUCAUGAGAAUCUGAAAGCAAUAGCCACGUGUUCUGAAAGAUGUAGAAAAGUUGCUUCUGGUUUGGAUAAGUGAGAAGCAUCUAGCAGGUGAUACUGUGACUGAGAACUUUGUCUGCAAGAAGGCAAAGGCCUUGUACACUGACCUCACAAGUAAACCGCCGGGUACAUCAACAGAAAACGAAGAAGGUUUCAAGGUGAACAGGGGUCUCCGUCACACCAGCCAUGAAGGUUUUCAAAGAGAUCCUGAGGACGGGAAUUGCACACAGCCCCACAGCUGGAGGAAACCAUCAGAAUGCGGGGGACAGUACUUCUGCCGAGUAAGUUUCUUGAUUCCGGAACUGUGGAAUAGACCAAAAAACCAAAGCAUCUGGCAGGAUAUGUGGCAGCUGGAAAAUACACAUAUUUUAAAGCCCUUAAGAUGCCUGUGGUUUAACACAUAUAUAUCAUUAUUCUAACAUUUGCUAAAAUAAAAUGCAAUUACACA